GCCGAGCGGUACAUGCCACUUCCCCUUCUGAUGUCACCCUGCAGUCCCCUCCAGGGGGACCAUCUCCUGGGAGCUGGCUCGGUCCUGGGGAACCCCCUACAUGGAGGGGAUGGAAGGAUCCAGAUUCUCACAUUAAGCGAGUCCCUUCCUCUCUCCGGCCGUGGCGUCCUCAUCUGUGAAGUGAGGGGAGUGCGUUGGACUGAGGGGCUCUGGGAUCCCUCCGAGGGCACAGAUGCUGGGACAUGCCUCCAUGUUCCUCCGCAGCACCAAAAGGGGAAAAGAGUUAAAGGCAAGCCGACACCCUUGUCAAACCUGCAUAGCUUUCAGACACAUUUCAAAAGUCACGAAGAGCAGACCUAUUACAAAAUAAGUUCAUCGUUUGAAAUCAUUUUGCUGUAACAGGAAACCCAAGGGCGUCUAACGCAGAGACUGAAAUAAAUUCCUCAUAUUUAUUUAACAGCUUCGUUUGUGACCUUUCCACGUUUGGUCUUCCCAGUG
rnacentral:lncRNA from 1 species